GAAAAGUUAGUUAAUUAAUAACAUAAAAUUGUCAAUUUUAAAUUACUAUACUUACUAGUACUUAUCA
rnacentral:tRNA from 1 species